GACGAACGCUGGCGGCGUGCCUAAUACAUGCAAGUAGAACGCUGAAGCGAGGAGCUUGCUCUUCUUGGAUGAGUUGCGAACGGGUGAGUAACGCGUAGGUAACCUGCCUUGUAGCGGGGGAUAACUAUUGGAAACGAUAGCUAAUACCGCAUAACAAUGGAUGACACAUGUCAUUUAUUUGAAAGGGGCAAUUGCUCCACUACAAGGUGGACCUGCGUUGUAUUAGCUAGUAGGUGAGGUAAUGGCUCACCUAGGCGACGAUACAUAGCCGACCUGAGGGGGUGGUCGGCCACACUGGGACUGGGACACGGCCCAGACUCCUACGGGAGGCAGCAGUAGGGAAUCUUCGGCAAUGGGGGCAACCCUGACCGAGCAACGCCGCGUGAGUGAAGAAGGUUUUCGGAUCGUAAAGCUCUGUUGUAAGUCAAGAACGGGUGUGAGAGUGGAAAGUUCACACUGUGACGGUAGCUUACCAGAAAGGGACGGCUAACUACGUG
rnacentral:rRNA from 1 species